rnacentral:rRNA from 1 species
GACGAACGCUGGCGGCGUGCUUAACACAUGCAAGUCGAACGCUGAAGCUCAGCUUGCUGGGUGGAUGAGUGGCGAACGGGUGAGUAACACGUGAGUAACCUGCCCUCUUCUUUGGGAUAACGCCCGGAAACGGGUGCUAAUACUGGAUAUUCACUGAUUCUCGCAUGGGGGUUGGUGGAAAGGUUUUUUCUGGUGGGGGAUGGGCUCGCGGCCUAUCAGUUUGUUGGUGGGGUGAUGGCCUACCAAGGCUUUGACGGGUAGCCGGCCUGAGAGGGUGACCGGUCACAUUGGGACUGGGAUACGGCCCAGACUCCUACGGGAGGCAGCAGUGGGGAAUAUUGCACAAUGGGCGAAAGCCUGAUGCAGCGACGCCGCGUGAGGGAUGGAGGCCUUCGGGUUGUAAACCUCUUUCGCUCAUGGUCAAGCCGCAGCUUGGGGUUGUGGUGAGGGUAGUGGGUAAAGAAGCGCCGGCUAACUACGUG